rnacentral:lncRNA from 1 species
UUAUGAACUGGCUUCAUUCCCUUAGGCUCAAUGGACAGACUUGAAGAACCUAUGUUUUCAGUCACUGGUUAGUAAACUUUCUGUAAACAGCCAGAUAGCAAGCAUUGUAAGCUUUUAGAACCAUAAGAUUCCUGUCACAACCAGUCUAUGUUACUGCUGCAGUGUGAAAACUGUUGCAGAGCAUAUGGGAAUCAAAGAAGGUGGCUGUUCCAGCAAGACUCUAUCUAUGAGGACAGCUGGAGCAUAAGACAAUUGCCAGUACUGGUUCACUUAUUUCCCAUUAGUGUCAUAUUUAAUUUCUGUGACUCUAUCUUCUAAUAUGUCAAGUAGUGAUCUCCACCAUGAAUGUCUUUGCCCUAUUCUUUUUCUUGGACAGCAUGCAGGAUCUUUAAGAAGUCAAGUUGCACAUAAAUCUAAUAGGCUUUCAUUUCAGUGAGACAUAGACAUGGACAUGGACAUGGACAUGGACAUGGACAUGGACAUAGGUUUAGUGUAGAUUCUUCUAGGAUUUGGGUGUAUAACGUAGCCUUGAAGAUUCGGGUAAAUUCAGAUGAAUGGAAUCCUAGGCCAUGUACAUCAGGGGUUAACGCUGAUGAAUAUCUAACAUAGUCCUGUUCUGCAUCUGAUAUUGACAGGACACACUUUCCAUUCUUGGUAUUGCCUCAGAUCUGCUGUGCAGUCAAAAACAUUUCUCAACCUCAGUACAAGGGUUCGAAUUGUGCAAACAUGUCCCAGAACCCUUUCCAUAGGCUUUCCACAUCAAAGACCCUCUCCUACUAUUAUUUCACUAUUCAAUCUGCCUCCAUUGGGUUCUCCACAGACAGAUGCACAUAUGUAUGUCUAGACAAGUCUUUAUGAAUCUAUGCAACAUGCAUUUUUUUCCUUCCCUGUCACAAAGCGGUACUAUCCCGCAUGGAGACUCAACGAUCCAUCUCAUGACAGAUUAACUUAAUGGCCAAUGAAUCAGGAGAGGAAAGUAAAUCCCAACAGACAGCACAUUAAGUUCAUUACUUGAGUCCUAUCAGUUGAAGAAAUAGUAAUAAAAAUAAAACCAACUGCAUCCUAUCAUAAAAACCAGUUCCACUGGCAGUACUGCCCAUAGUGUGAGAUUUCUACAUCUUCACAAACACACACACCCAUCUUUGCAUUCCUGUUGUAUGAUGGUCCAGUCUAGGCUCUGCCCACAUCAGCACAUGAUGUGGAUCUCACCCUGGGGGAAAAGUUAUUAUCAGAAAUUUUGAAACAAGUAGUUGCUAAAUAGAGGUUUGAUAAUGGAGCCAGAGGCAGCUGUCACCCGCUGCUCUGUUUUUGCGCUGCAUAUGUAAGAGUAUAGAAACAUUUUAAGCAGCUUAGGGGCAGAAAUAAUGGAAAACUAGUGAUUUUGGUAAUUUACAUAUUUAUAGAGACUGUGGAGAUUUUAGUCAGGAAACAAAGAAGAAAACAGAGUUGUCAAUGAUCAAAUGCUGCCUGCCUUGCAGAGCUAAAACCAGCAAUUUAUGGCUAAGCUCAGUUACACCUUUGAAAUUACUAUAAAAAAAGGAAAAGAAAAGGAAAACACCGAAAAAUGUGCACUUUGGUGCAGGUUAUCAGCUUUAAAGCUCUGUAAAAUAGAUGCAUCUGAGCAGGUGACAUUUCAUUCAGUC